rnacentral:rRNA from 1 species
CCUACGGGCGGCAGCAGUGGGGAAUAUUGGGCAAUGGAGGAAACUCUGACCCAGCAAUGCCGCGUGAAUGAUGAAGGUCUUCGGAUUGUAAAGUUCUUUUCUAAGGGAAGAAGAAAGCGAUGCUACCUUAGGAAUAAGCCUCGGCUAACUACGUGCCAGCAGCCGCGGUAAUACGUAGGAGGCGAGCGUUAGCCGGAAUGACUGGGUGUAAAGGGUGCGUAGGUGGUUUGGCAAGUUAGGAGCGUAACUCCAAGGCUCAACCUUGGAACUACUACUAACACUGUUGGACUUGAGUGUAGGAGCGGUAAGCGGAAUGCAUGGUGUAGCGGUGGAAUGCGUAGAUAUUA